AACCACGCAUUUUCCAUCAAUACACUAUUCAAAAAUGUAUUCUUAGAAAUAUAAUGUGACUCAAACAAGGCUUAAUUUAUGCAACUAAUCACGUGUAAUAACAUCAAUCUCACUUGAGCUUUUCGAAAGAAUAGCUGAAUUCUAACCCUUUAUUAAAUUUAAAUCCAACACCAAUGCAUCAUAACUCUCCAACCAAAAUAAAUUAAAUAUAAUUAAAUUUUCACAGUAAAGAGCAGAGAAAGAGAGACAAAAACAUGCUCAGUUCCACGCAAUGAAUCUAACAAGCUUUCCGCGGUUCAUUCUCGGAACAGAACGAAACACGAGUUCACCUAUUUGGUAUUUGUAAGGGAAAACACAAGCCUCUACAAGAAUUUGAAGAGAAAUUCGAGGUUCAGCAAUUGGGAAUUUGGAAGAAGCUUUAGCUUGAACAGCAGUGAUGUAAAUAAUCGGAAUCUUGAAGGAUAAGAAUGAAUGAAGUAAGGGAAGGACUUACU
rnacentral:lncRNA from 1 species